UCAGCUUGCUGACUUUGAUGGCGACCGGCGCACGGGUGAGUAACGCGUAUCCAACCUUCCCUUUACUCGGGGAUAGCCUUUCGAAAGAAAGAUUAAUACCCGAUGCAUUUGUCUUUUCGCAUGAGAGGAUAAAGAAAGAUUCAUCGGUAAAGGAUGGGGGUGCGUUCCAUUAGAUAGUAGGCGGGGUAACGGCCCACCUAGUCAACGAUGGAUAGGGGUUCUGAGAGGAAGGUCCCCCACAUUGGAACUGAGACACGGUCCAAACUCCUACGGGAGGCAGCAGUGAGGAAUAUUGGUCAAUGGGCGCGAGCCUGAACCAGCCAAGUAGCGUGAAGGAUGACGG
rnacentral:rRNA from 1 species